GUGAAGAACGCAGCGAAAUGCGAUAAGUAAUGCGAAUUGCAGAAUUCAGUGAGUCAUCGAAUCUUUGAACGCACAUUGCGCCCUGUGGUAUUCCGCAGGGCAUGCCUGUUCGAGCGUCAUUUCAACCCUCAAGCUCUGCUUGGUGUUGGGCCCUGCCCGCUGCGGCCGGCCCUAAAGACAGUGGCGGUGCCGCCUGGCCCUGAGCGUAGUACAUCUCUCGCUCCAGUGCCCGGUGGUAGCCUGCCAGAACCCCAACUCUCGUGGUUGACCUCGGAUCAGGUAGGGAUACCCGCUGAACUUAAGCAUAUCAAUAAGCGGAGGA
rnacentral:misc_RNA from 1 species